AGGGCUAAUGUGCCAUCAAAUCUCUUCUUUAAUUGUAUUUUUUUCAGGUAUUUUCUCAUGGAGACAACAGCACUUUUUCUCUGUCUCCAAGAAUACUGCCUGGCACAAACUGGCUUCUCAGAAAUGAUUAACAUAAAGAAUAAAUGAAUGUGUUCAGGGGCUGAUAAGAAUGGCAGAUUUGACGUCUGCUGCACACUGAGCAAGCUUUGGUGAGCAUAUGCCUUUUUUUCCCCCCUUACUGGCAGAGGUCCAAACUGAGAACUGUGAGAACAGGCGAACACACAUCUAUAACUUAGAAGAAGCAAUAUUUCACAGGACUGCAGGAUAUUAGCAUUAUUAAAUUCAUACAUUCAAUUCAGAGUCACUUAGGAAUUAGAUGUGAGGUUUCAUCCCUAUCCUCAAAUAUUAUCUUUGAUUUGAUCUUGAAACUGUUAGAACUAACAAAUCUGGUGCUUCAUCUAGGAGAAGAUGUGUAACUAGAUCCUAAUAAAAUAAAUACAGCAUCCUGGUUGGUAUACCAGAGUGUUUAAUGCUAGCCCACUAAGGUGGCUGAUGGGUAGAGAGGUGAGUGUGUUAAGAGAAAAUAUUGUUCUAGGGGUUGCCAUACAUUUCCAGGAAUAAAGCUAGAUGCUGUUCUGCAUUUCCAGUGUCCAUGUUGACCUAAUAGAAUCUCCAAAAAAUCUGCUGGUUAUUGAAUUUUUAUUAUUUAUUUAUCGAUCAUGACUAUUAACAUUUCUUUAUGAGUGUCAGCUAACAUCUGCUGCGAGGCUGAGUGGAACUCUGCCUCCUACCGCCAGUGGAAACCCCUUGGGGAGAUAACUCAUUUGCAUAUUUCUUCUUCCUUGUUUUCGUUUUUGAGUCAGCAGAGAAGAAGCCAGAAAAGAUGAUGGUAGGAUUGAGCAAUUAAGAAGACAAACUGUAGUUUAGUUAUUCUCUUGUUCCCAGGGAUUGCAGGAGAACUACUUCUAGAUAAUUGCUAACUUGUUAUUAUAUUCUUAUUUCAAAAUUCUGAAAGUUUUGCUAAUGGGUAGUCACCUUCACAAACGAUCCACAUUAACCAUCUUCACUGAGAUGUGUAGUUUUUGUUGAAGAAUAUCCAUCUAAAAAAUACCACCAAGUACAUAUCACCUCAGGGGGCUUUCUGAGUUCGAUCUGGAGAACAUUUCUGGAUUUAUAAAAUAAGGACAUGAAUUUGGCUUUCACAGAGCAUACUUCAUCUUUCUUCUUAUUAAGGCAUCCUAGUAAUGAUUUCAGGGAAGUAACAACAGGUUUGACUCUUUGGGGAAAUUGAAUGUGUAAAUUUUCUUUUCUGUAAAAAUCCAUUUAUCUCUCUCUUUUUUUCCCCUCUUAGGAAUGUAAUGAAGGCAAAGCCCGAAAGUCACACUGGCAGAAAAAAUAGGCCUCAGAGUAGAAGGAUCGUCUUUGAGGAGAUAUUUACUUUAGUGGGGUUUUUUUUUUUCUUCUUUAAAAAUUGUUUCCCUGACUCCUAAUGACACAUUCUACAACUCUAGAUUAGAGUACUGCCCAGCCCUCAUCAGAAAAGCUUCUUGCCGUACAUGGUAAUUACUACAGAGGUCCACAGCUAGAUAAAGUACACACAAUGAAAGGCUUUGGAUCCUUCAGUUCCAAAUGGGAUGUCUUUAUCCCUCAAGGCCCAGGAAUCUAUGAAGAAGAAGAGGCAGAAAGAACCAGAGGUUGUGGAUGACUCGGAGAAAAGUAUGUCUUCAAGAUAGAACAGGGCUGAUCACAUGUGAAUUCCCAGAGACUGUGGCAGCAUAUGUAAGACCUGGAGGAGGUCUAGCCAGACAAAAUCCCAGCAAGGUGGAAAAGAGGACACAAAGUCGCAUUCCAAACCAAGAAGCUAUUUGUAACUAAUAGUUGCAGGGAGAGGGAGAAAUCAGGGUUUGCUUUUUUUGUUUUUGUCUUUGUUUUUGUUUUUCCAGUAAAGGGACUCUGGGUAUAUCAACCACAUUUUAGGUCAAGCCGAAUGCUUAGGAAUAGUCAGCCAACACAAAACAGACUCUUUUUUAUUUUUUUAUGUUUGGAGAGAGUAAGAAGAAAGUUGGAUGGGUAAGGAUGUGGUAGAAGAUCUGAGAGGAAUUGCAGGAGGAAGAAAGAACAUGGCCAAAAUACAUUGCAUGCAAUUUUCAAAGAAUAAGUAAAAACAUUAAAAAUAUAUUUCACCUUUUCUAACAUACUACCACACAUUAUUUUCUAGGUAGCAGCCUCAUGCUCACUCCAUUUACAAGGUUAAAAAAAAAAAGGAUACAAAAUUAUUUUUUAAAACUAACAGCUGCACUGGCGGUGUUAACAAGCGGGCUGUGAUGUGGAUGCUCAAGGCUUUGCUUUUUGAACUCACUCUGUGGUCAAUUACCUUAGGAUGCCUCGAGUCUAGAAUGGCUUUGGCUGAGCUGAGUCAAUGAAACAUUUAUGGAUCAAAGCAUCCUGGAGAUGCUUCCUAUGGGAAUGUGUGUCGUAUUUAUACAGCAUCGUCUUUGAUGUGCUCAAAGAGUUUUGCAGACGGUAUAGACUUCAUCUGCACCACCCAUGAAGCAGGUUGGGAGAAAAGUGAGUCUUGUUUAUGAAUGAGUACAGGAGUGGAAGGAAGGACUGCUCAGAGCCUCACAGUGGGGCUAUGUUCAAAGAUGUGAGGAAAAGGGUCAGUUUCAUGGUGUCUGCAGGGGAAUUUUAACCUCUAAACUUUUGAUUUCCCAGGAUAUGUAGUACUCUGUGACCCCUCUACCCACUUCCAGUUCUUGAAUUUCACCACCAAGUCCACAAUUGCAGAGUGUGCCACAGAGCCUGGAGAUUCGACUCUGACUGGCAGGGCAAAGCCUUGGCUUUGGGACCUGGCCUUGAUGUUUAUGAGGAAGAUGUCUUUGAGAAACUCAAUUGACCUAUUUGACAUUCAGUUUCUUCCUUCAUGAGAAGAAUAGGUAAUCCCUGCCCAACAGAGAUGAUAUGGUAGGGUCCUUAUUAUAGGGUCUGAUGCAUAAUAGGUUCUUAAAAGCUACGUCAGUGAGACUAUACCCUUGAAGGUCAUAGAGGCACAGUGCCAUCUACCUGUCUUCCUCCAUUGAGAUGGAAGAACCUGGCCAUAGGCUUCUAAAGGAAUGAUUCCAGUAAAAACAAAGUCACUAUUAUAAAGUUUUCUUUUUAGGCACCUUCAUUAUAAGGAUGGUAUUGCCAAAUAGUGAACUUUUGAAUGUGGCAAUAGUUAACAGAGUUAAAAAGUAUGUUUGUUAGUGUCCUCUAUCGCUAUGAUGAAACAUUGAAGACAGUCACUUAUCACAGGGAAGGUUGGCUUGGGCUAUGACGAAACAUUGAAGACAGUCACUUAUCACAGGGAAGGUUGGCUUGGGCCAUGACAAAACAUUGAAGACAGUCACUUAUCACAGGGAAGGUUGGCUUGGGCUAUGACGAAACAUUGAAGACAGUCACUUAUCACAGGGAAGGUUGGCUUGGGCCAUGACAAAACAUUGAAGACAGUCACUUAUCACAGGGAGGUUGGCUUGGGCCAUGACGAAACAUUGAAGACAGUCACUUAUCACAGGAAGGUUGGCUUGGGCUUAUAGUUUCAGUCUUUGGUCAUUGGGCUGCUUGGGUUCUGGAUUACAAUGAGGCAGAAAUCAAGGUUUGAGAAGAAAGUGGAGCUGAGUUGCUCAGCUGAUGGUGACUAGGAAGUAGGGGUGGUGGUCAUGGGCAAAAUGUCUCAAUCAAGGGAAUACCCAUAGUGACCUACUUCCUCCCACGGGGCCUCAUCUCUAAAGUUCCCACCAGCGCUGUCUCUGAAUAUGUCACCUGCUGAGGACACGAGGUUUGGGGGACAUUGUGACUCCUAACCACAACAGAGCCAAGCCUGGAGGAUGCUGUGCUCUUUGUACAGAAGUGGACCAGUUUGCUGAGGACCAGUGGCCACGGUGAGGCAGGAUUGUAAUACAGUUCGUUCUGAGCUGAACCAUCUCCAGUGGGAGACAGAUAAAGUCCCAAGUUCCUAGGACGUGCUACUGUGUGACAGGCAUCAACCUCCCUUCUGAAGCACACAUUUACCUAAGAAAGCCAGUGACAAGCAUAGCAGAGUUAUCAAUGACUGCAAAGUACUCAUUGUGCUCCUAGUGAUGGCCGUGUCAGCUAUCACAGACUGAAUAGACUUCUGACCUUGGAAAAGCAAGUGCGCAGGUCAAAGCCAUUUCUUCCAAGAUGAGUUUGAACUCCACUGACUUUUAGUUGGAGUAUUUGACUCGUUUACAGUUAGGUUUACUUAGAGGACCUGAAAAAUACCAUCUCAUAUUUCCCGGUUUGCAUUGCUGAUGUAUUGAUCUUCUCUCCAAAUUAAAGCAUUCCCUUAGGAGGAAGAAGAAAUGCUCAUAAAAGUCAGCGAGCAAGUGAACACUGAGGGCUCUGUGAGACUUGGACAGAAUGAAGAAAAGCCAGGCCAUUAAGCAGUGCAUAUAAAACUUUAAUAAGAGUCAGACAUACAAAUGAGCUUCGUUUUAUGCAAUGUUAACACAGGGGGAUUACGGUUUUCUGAGAAUGCAUCAUGUAAAGAAGGACUUGAAGGAACAGGGGAGAUUGUGGGAGUCUGUAAGAGAGCUCGUUCUAGGCAGGAAGCAGAAGGAGCCGAGGGAGACGUUUACCUGACUGCUGCAGGGGUAGUAUAUUGGCUGGCACAGCGGCAUAGGAUGAAUGGAGAAGACGUAAGUUGAUGUGGUGGAGGGAACAGAGCCGAGCUGUAAGAAGCUGGGAGAUCUUGUGCACACAAUAAAAGCCACUGAGAACCUUUAGCCAGAGGAAUCACUCGUUCUGAAAAGUUGCACGGGACUCUGCUUGCUCCGUGCAAGACAGACCUGAUUAGUGACCGGAAGCAGGAAGUGGGUGGUCACUGAGUGACUGCUGCACUGUUGUCUUAUGUCCAGCGUGGCUCAGCCAGCAAGCAGCUCAGCAGGGCUGGCCCGGACCAGCCUGUUUUUGUAGUGUGUGGUUUAAGCUUCUGUAUGCCUUCCAUUAGCCUCCUCUGUAUAUCUUACCACCCAAUACUUGCUCAUAUUUAAUUAUAACACAUUUUCUUUCUGAAGUAACCUCUCUUUUCACAUAAAUGAAAGUGAUGCUUGUUGGGUAUGGCUGAGCAUGUCUUCAGGUUUUCCAUUCAUAAUUACCAGCGUUUGCUCAUUUUUUCCUAGCUCAUUGGCCACGACGCCACCAUGUGUGGAGUCACUUGCUUUGUGGUAAACCUACGUGUUAACUGUGUUUAUAAGCAGAUUCGCAUAAACCCAUGGAGCAAACUAACAAUGUGUGCGAUUUUCGGUGGUGUCGGGUUCCUUAUGAUGCUCUUGGCAGGAUGUGAGCCACCAAUGAAGAAGACAAGGAUGUGGGUGGUGGCUCGAGCCAGAGUUCCCAUCAGCGGUGGAAGUCACCCUGGUGUACCCUGGUGUCCCAGUCCUCACCGUUAUUAACUCCACUGGUUGUAGCCGUCACAUCUUUGGCAUUGGAACUGAAGCACCGAAGAUAAUUUCUACUUUCUCCACCGUCUAACUUUCAGUUUUAAGGGGAACUUGUCAUAUGUAAAAAAAAACAAAAAAUUGUAAAUGUUUCUUUGUGGGCAUCUUUUUACAUUUGUUUCUUUCUUCCUGGAAUCAUAUUUAGUGGCCUUAUGAUAAGCAAGAAGAGGUGAUGUUUCCAAAGAUUAUAAUUAUAGAAAAAACGGAGUGUUGGCACAGGCCUGUAAUCUGAGCAGUUGGAAGGUUUGAAGUUCAAGGUCUUCUUCAGCUUCGCAGUGAGUCAGGUCAGGGGCUAGGCUGCCAUACUUGAGACCCUGUCCCACAUUUAGAAAAGGAAAACUCAAAGAAAUAGAAAUAUCCAAAUCUCCCAUUUUUCCCAAGGGGCAGAUGGUAGAUUUCCUUAGCAGAACAUACACCUUCCCAGAGAGAACAAGAUUCAAUGAACGUGUAAAUAGUAUCUUGUUUUCUUUCUUUCUUUACUAAAAUGAUACACCCAGCACAUUUUCAGUUUGGUAACUUUCAUUUUGGUUUUUAGUUAAUGUUGUUUUAUUAGCUUCUAUCCCUUGCACCGCAUUGAGAUCCAUCACACUGUUAUCCAAAUUUCUGCUGUACUGGGAACAUCCUGAUCACUACCCCUAACGCCCCUGACCAUCUUCACUUGGCUAAUUUCUAAAUUGGUAACUAAUUACAUGCAGAUAAUUAAAGAAUAAGCAAGAGUUCCCACCGUUAGGUAAAGUUGGGGGCAUGAUGUUAAGAAAGAGAAAGCCAAUUUCAAAUCUCGAUUGUUUGGAACAAAAUUUCAAAGUUAAAAGUAUCACGAGGCAAAAAUUCCAAGUAUUAGAAUUAUACUCAGUAGUUUCAUUUCCCUUGUGAAAUUUUAUUUUAAGAGAAUAAAAUGUGGCCCAUAAAGGUAUCUGAUCUCUCAGUGUGCCUUAUGCUUCAUAUAAAUCAAAUCCAGAAAAUAAGUGGGGCAUAUGUAAAAUGAAACCUUAAACAUACCUGGGACCAUCUUUUGCGAGGCACCGAUUGCUGCGUUAUCAAUUUUUUCUUGGAGCGUUUAUUAAAGAAUAUCUUUUGUUUUAAUUUGCCCCACACAAAGCAGCUUAGAGACAUUUACAGAGACGAAGAGGGAGCUUCAAUUAACCUUGGCUGCCGAGAUAUUUUAUGUGCAUGUAUUAUGCUACAACAGGGUAAUUACCUAAUACCUUUUGUGAAGGAAUUCUAAUAAAGAAUGAAAUUGAUUUAUACAUAAUGAAA